rnacentral:rRNA from 1 species
CCUACGGGUGGCAGCAGUGGUGGAUAUUGCACAAUGGGGGGAACCCUGCUGCAGCGACGCCGCGUGGGUGAAGGAGCGUUUCGGCGCGUAAAGCCCUAUCGGCAGGGAAGAAGGCGUCCGGUACCUGACUAAGAAGCCCCGGCUAACUACGUGCCCGCAGCCGCGGUAACACGUAGGGGGCAAUCGUUAUCCGGAUUGACUGAGUGUAAAGGGGGCGCAGACGGCAGCGAAAGCCAGGAGUGAAAGCGCGGGGCCCAACCCCGGGACUGCUCUUGGAACUGCGCGGCUGGAGUGCAGGAGGGGCAGGCGGAAUUCCUGGUGUAGCGGUGAAAUGCGUAGAUAUCAGGAGGAACACCGGUGGCGAAGGCAGCCUGCUGGACUGCGACUGACGUUGAGGCCCGAAAGCGUGGGGAGCAAACAGGAUUAGAUACCCGUGUAGUC